rfam:Schistosoma haematobium scaffold52_8, whole genome shotgun sequence.
AUCCAGCUGAUGAGUCGCAAAUAGAACGGAACGUGAGUCCUGAAU